rnacentral:rRNA from 2 species
GGAUGAGAUCAUACCAGCACUAAAGCACCGGAUCCCAUCAGAACUUUGAAGUUAAGCAUGCUUGGGCGAGAGUAGUACUAGGAUGGGUGACCUCCUGGGAAGUCCUCGUGUUGCAUUCC